GGGGGCUUAGCUCAGUGGUAGAGCGCUUGCCUAGGAAGCGCAAGGCCCUGGGUUCGGUCCCCAGCUCCG
rnacentral:tRNA from 1 species